GACGAACGCUGGCGGCGCGCCUAAUACAUGCAAGUCGAGCGAGAAGACGUAGCAAUACGUUUGUAAAGCGGCGAACGGGUGAGGAAUACAUGGGUAACCUACCCUCGAGUGGGGAAGUAACUAGCCGAAGGUUAGCUAAUACCGCGUACGCUCCUUGGACUUCGGUUCAGGGAGGAAAGCGAUACCGUGGGUAUCGCGCUCUUGGAUGGGCUCAUGUCCUAUCAGCUUGUUGGUGAGGAACGGCUCACCAAGGCUUCGACGGGUAGCUGGUCUGAGAGGACGAUCAGCCACACUGGCACUGCGACACGGGCCAGACUCCUACGGGAGGCAGCAGUAAGGAAUAUUGCGCAAUGGGCGAAAGCCUGACGCAGCGACGCCGCGGUGGGGGAGUGAA
rnacentral:rRNA from 1 species